ACUCCUACGGGAGGCAGCAGUGGGGAAUAUUGCACAAUGGGGGGAAACCCUGAUGCAGCCAUGCCGCGUGUGUGAAGAAGGCCUGGGUUGUAAAGCACUUUCAGUAGGGAGGAAGGUAGUGUAGUUAACACCUGCAUUAUUUGUACGUUACCUACAGAAGAAGCACCGGCUAACUCCGUGCCAGCAGCCGCGGUAAGUACGGAGGGUGCGAGCGUUAAUCGGAAUUACGUGGGCGUAAAGCGCAUGCAGGCGGGCCUGUUAAGUCAGAUGUGAAAGCCCGGGGUCUUAAACCUCGGAAUUGCAUUUGAAAACGUGGCGAGGCUAGAGUCUUGGUAGGAGGGGGUUAGGAAUUUCGAGGUGUAGCGGUGAAAUGCGUAGA
rnacentral:rRNA from 1 species